CAGAGGUUGCAUUUGACAAUAGUAGCCAAUAUGAGCUUGAAAGUGGCGAAGAUUAUUGGCGAAAGGGGAUAAUGCCGAAAUUUAUGACGAUACUUUCUAAGUCAUAAGUUGGGAUUUGAUUGAAUAAGUCAAAUACUGUCGCAGUAAUUCGGCGUAUUGCUGCGGAGUGCUAUCG
rnacentral:ncRNA from 1 species